rnacentral:rRNA from 1 species
UACGCAGGGGGCAAGCGUUGUUCGGAAUUACUGGGCGUAAAGGGCGCGUAGGCGGCCUUCUAAGUCGAACGUGAAAUCCCCGGGCUCAACCCGGGAACUGCGUCCGAUACUGGAAGGCUUGAAUCCGGGAGAGGGAUGUGGAAUUCCAGGUGUAGCGGUGAAAUGCGUAGAUAUUCGGAAGAACACCAGUGGCGAAGGCGGCUCACUGGACUGGUAUUGACGCUGAGGUGCGAAAGCGUGGGGAGCAAACAGG